CAUUAUUCACCAGGCACUCGUUGAUGUCAUUGCACUGAAGCCCAUCCCCAGAGUAGCCAGUCACACAUGUACAGUUGUAAGAACCAGGUUUCAGUCUAAAUGCUAAAGCACCCCUGAGGACAUGCAGGGCUAUUGUCUGCCUUCAACGGAGGCUUUGGAUGGACGGCAGGAGAGACUCCAGUUACAUACAUGGAGGAACAGCUACCACCCCUGAGCUCCUGCAACUAGGACAGCACGGUGGGUCAAAAAUGCACUGUUACAGUCUGAUGGUCCCGUUUGUGUCUGCCAUGACUGAGAGAUUUCCGUCGCUCUGCUCGUCUUUUGCUGCACGUCUUUGUCCUGGAGGAUCUUCUUCUGCUUUUUAUUUUUGGACUCCUCCACCCCACCUGGGACAAUGCCCCUGUCCGCCACAGCACGCUCAGCCCUGACAUCUUAAACCUCUGGGAAGAGGAACACCCAUAUUCCUCUGGUUAUGUGUCAACUCAUACACAAUAAAUGUUCCAGCAACCUGAGGACACCAUUUGUCCUCUUUACUGUACGUCGACGAUAAUCAGUCAAUUUGCUUUUAUUCCUCUGUUCAUUACGGGAGAGAGAGGUUUCGAUUUUUCUGGAAAAGAUUUCAAUGUAAUCCAUUCCUGGCUGCCAUGAGUUGUCCAAUAUUUAACAUGAACUGAUGCAAACAAAUCAGCAGCAGCAUUAAAAGGCCAAACUAAUCUUCAACCAGUCACGAUACAGGAUGGUUUGGGUGUAGCCUCUGAUUUAAUUUAUCUUUUCAAUUGUAUCCUUGUUGAUUGUGCAGGAGGCAACUCUUCUGCUUGUCAAAGACAUAGAGUUGUAUUCAAAACAUGUCUAGCACAUUUUUUUAUAGAAAAUCAUUCUUAGCUAAUGAGAUUCUGGUUUGAGCUCCUCUCAGAAAGAGUUGUUUUAGGGCCUCUUGUCACUUUAAAUCCAAAUAAGCUGCUGCUGGCCACCCCCCCCAA